CAUCCUUGCCGUUGGCGUGUCUCCAACCCAGCGGUUGGUUCAUUUUAUUAUUAUUUUCCUGGACCGACCUGCUGCCGUCUCUCGAGUCUCGAGGUCCAUUCCCUGCCGGCUGCCACUUCCCGAGCCGGCCGCCGUUCCAUGAGCUUCCCCCGCCGGCCACCUCUCCCCGAGGUGCCCCCUCGCCCUCCGCUCCAUGAGUUUCCCCGCCGUCCGCCGCUCCCCAAGAUCCCAACGCGGGCCUCCGUUUCACGAGGUUCCCCCGCCGGCCGCCGCUCCACGAGAUCAGCAGCGCCACCUGUAGCGCCGACGGAUCCCGUGGUGCUGAGAGGCCAGCUGCUCCCACGGCGACGAGCGGCGGCUCCGCGAUGUGAGGCGGCGACGGAAGGUGCCAGGUUGAGAGGUUCGUUGACCUCGACCAUGCUCCGGCAGCCGUUCUCACAACCGUUGGCCACAUGCCAAGGAAGGCUGCUACAUUGCGAGCAUGUUGUUUCAGGUCAUGCAGUUUUUCUAUCAGCCAUCUUAAAAACAUGAGAUCCAUGACAAAAAAAAAACCGACAUGUCAUUUUACUUUGGCAAGAAUUGUUUUGUGAGAUGUUAAACUAAUAUGUGAAUCUGCAACCCCCAUGAUGCACUUUGAACAUGCAGGCCCAUGUCAUGCAAACUGGAGUGGACUAGCCAAAGAUAAACCGUGAUCUUUUUGUUGCUAUUAUAUUCUUGAUUUUUCAUAAAUUAGGCUAUGUUUUUUUGAGAAACAUAGUACAAACACAGACGCUCACAACACGACGGGUACGUCACCUACCACUGAAAGAAUAGCGCCGGUUAAAUUCUGUAAUAAGAAAUGUGACAUUCAUGUCAAGUCUAGGACUUGAAUCUGGGUGGGUUAUUUCCACCAGAAAGAAACAGACCACCUGAGUUACGCUCUAUGUUUUUGCAAGAUAAAUACUUAAAUUUAUCCGCUAUGGCGUUUUAAGUGCGGGCGUGCCAGUAUAGCAUUGUAUACAAAUUAAACAAAUAUAAACACAUGGAAAUUGGAAACUCGCUUCUUAUCACUUAUCGAUGAUUUACAUUAUUCUUCUUUCCCGUGUAUCUUGUGUACUGUGCAUGUGUAUCUGACUGAGACGAUUGUAAGGUUCUUGAUUCCCGAAAUCUUGGAAAAAUUUAAGUUAAUUUCAUUUGAGGUACAUAUACUCGCAGAACACCUCCGAUUAAGUUACAUCAAACAUUCAGUGGUCAUCUUUAUAAAAAAAAAACUUGGGGUUUAGGUCAUCACGAAGUGAUGCGGCCAAACACAAACGCAAGAGACAUGUCUUAACGUGGAAACCCAAAUUGAGAAAAAACCACGGUGGCGCGAAGGCCAAGUCCACUAUAUGAUUGUUUACAAACAACGGGUGUUGCAACAUUGCUCUUUUAUCAUCAUAUUCCUAAUCACAGUCAAUCUGGCAUGGCGAAUUAAUUCUUGUGGUAGAUGGACAUGUCGGUCACUAGGUUUAUGCAUAUUGCUGCCACCAGGAUGCUAAUUUCUGUAGAUUGAGGCUUGCGGCGACGGGGUCCAUCCGUGGUUGCGACACGGCGCCAGACAGAGCCAUGAAUGCGAGCGACACGGCUACAGGUAGAACCACGGAUGCCAUGAAACUAGCGUGAAAUGGACCGUUAGGCUCCCGGCGAUCUGCUCCUGAACUGAAGACACCAGAGAUUGAAGUAAAUGGCCGCUCUGCUUGUAUCAUGAAGAAAUC